AUCACUAGGAAAUCCAGUGGUGGUCUGGUUUCAUUUGUAGAUGGUCCGGAUUCAUUGCUAAGACUUAGUUUCAACUGGGAUAUCCAA